UCAUGGUAUUUGAUACACAAAAUAUAACUUGCAAACAUGCAAAAUUACACACAGAUUUGCAUAAAAACAGGGGUUUUAUUUUAUUUUAAUUUUAUCAUGUUUGGAGAAAACAUGAAAGAAAAAGACCCAAAGCUAUAUAUUUAUUUUUCAUCGGUCAUAAGCACCCCCAUACUUAGGCUGAAAGUUGAUCCAUCCGCACUUAAACGGAACCGCUGAAACCUUUAUUGUAAGCAUAUUCAACAAGGGAAUCCAACUCAUCAUUGGUGCAGUCGAUCAAAUUGUCCUUAUUUUUAUCAGCAACAUCCAUGGCCUCUUCAACUUGCUUGUUUGGCGUGAGUACACCUAGAUGUUCGAAAGCAUCCUUAAGCUGGUCCCUGGUGAGGCUGCCCUGCUUAGAGUAAGAUCGAAACACUUGUUCCAAUUUGUUUUUCUGAUCCUUGUUAUCCUUUGUGGCUUGCAUUGUGGAUUUUGAGGCUAUGACAGGGUGAUAUUAGAGAGAAGGCUUGCCUAGCUUAGUUUGGU
rnacentral:lncRNA from 1 species